rnacentral:rRNA from 1 species
CAGCAGCCGCGGGAAUACGUAGGGUGCGAGCGUUAAUCGGAAUUACUGGGCGUAAAGCGUGCGCAGGCGGUUUGUUAAGACAGAUGUGAAAUCCCCGGGCUUAACCUGGGAACUGCAUUUGUGACUGGCCGGCUAGAGUAUGGCAGAGGGAGGUGGAAUUCCACGUGUAGCAGUGAAAUGCGUAGAUAUGUGGAGGAACACCGAUGGCGAAGGCAGCCUCCUGGGCCAAUACUGACGCUCAUGCACGAAAGCGUGGGGAGCAAACAGGAUUAGAUACCCGCGUAGUCCCUGUCUCUUAUAC